CACGUCGUUGUGAGUUUUUACGCUUUUCUGAUUCUUGAUGUGUAUGAUGGUUCGGUGUGUUUCCUUUAUGAUUCGUCUAUUUUUCUUUUGUUGGAUGCGAUUUCUAGAACGCUUUGUUUAGUUUUUCUUGGAUUUUAGGAUUCAUUGACGUGAUUAAGAGGAUGCGUAUGUUCUUAGAGGUCGUAAGGAAUUCAGGUCUACCUCUAAAACGAGCGAUCGGAUAUGAGUUCGAUGGGAUGUGGUGUAGGGUUGACAUCGCAGUAAUAUGACGGAGGUCUUAAAACGCCAUGAGAAGCCCUUGUUUCCUAAGGAUCCUGCUUUCUUUCUUUUAUUUCUGGUCCAUUGGAAUAUAGAAUCAGUUACUAGUUUGAAAAUCAUAGUAUUUCCUCUGAUAUAUGGAUGUUUUCUAUCUCCGAGGUUUGGAAUCCUUUGGAAGACGCGUAUUGGGGGGCACUCAGUGCGAGUUUUAUAUUACUGAACAGGCCUCGACAUGUAAAUCUUUGUUCUGCUUAGCGAACGCUACACUCAAUGUUUUGAUGUCUAUAACCUGUUAUGGAAUUAGCUACCCUGUGGAUGACGACGUCUCCUAAAGUAUCGGUUGUUUCUUUCCAAAGGGAGUUGUUAUUUUCAGAAACCUACUUUAAUCUUAACCGGAUAUUUGAUUUGCUGUUCUUGAUUCAUUGUUAAUUGAUUUCCUUAUUGUAGGAUGCUUCUUCCUUUUUCCCAUCUUCUCCAACUCUUUUAAGUGAGUCAGGAGCUUUUAUUUUAAAGUUGAUGCUUAGUUGUGUAGACAUGCUGCCUUGCCCUAUUGUUCCUUUGCUUAGUGGGUGCCAGGAUUAUGCAUUAUUUUCCAUUCCAAGCAGAUCGUACAGUGUUCCCUUCGUCAAAAUUUCAGAUGAGGAAGGGGAUGAGAAGUCAUCCUAUUGUAGACAUCUUUCAUUUGUGGGUCAUCUGAUGGGAGUCGAAGAACAAUUUUUUAGGCUCGUGGUUUAUCAGUAUAGUUGAUGGUGCAUUGCAUGUUAUUGAACUGAUGAAAUUUGAGGAGUAGUAUAAAGCUCUUUGGCUGUCAAAUCUUAUCCCAAUGCUGUUCCAUGCUAUUUUUGGCUCACCAGCAUGGGUUUGUUGAUUUCAAAAGUGAAGAAUUCAUGGGGUUUUAGAAGUCUUAUGGCAUUGCACCUAGAGCAUGCCAUUGCUCAAUAAGAUGCAUCAGUAUCUAUCUGCGUCAGCUACUGAUCAAUCCCAAAUUUGUUUCUGGAUCAACCAUUUUCAAGACUGUUCAAGUUGUUAGUGUUUCUGGAUCAACCAUUUUCAUGACUGUUCAAGUUGGUUUCUAGUGGUAUUUACACCAUAUGUUUGAUUAUGUUGAACGUGGUCACUAAAUUAUAUGCAGUCUUAGAAAGUGAAGAUGUGUAGCUGAGUGUUUGGGAGGGAGGAUAUUAAAUGUUUCAUUCAAGUCGUAAGUAUGCUGUGCGUGUAAAUUAAAAUGACUUAUUGCUGUUAGAUUGGUAGCUAAAAGUUUUCAAGUAUUUGAAUCCUGAUUUCCAACCGCAGCUGAAUUAAAUUGCUUAUCAAGGUUUUCAAAUAUAUAAGAUCAUUUUUACAAUCAUCUCUCUAGAAUAAUUGGUUUUUUGAGUAACCCAUAGCUUUAUCUUUCAAGGGUAACAUUAGGCUUCAUUAUCAUUUUUUCCUUAUUGCUCAUGAAGUCAUACGGGCCAUCACUGAUCUUUCAAUUCACUUUUGAUUCAAUCGUAUUAAGAUUUAUUAGCAAUAUUCCUUCAUAUAUGUCUUGGUGAAUCUUCCAUCUCUUCGUUCAUGGCUCCUCCGAGUCCGCAUCAAUGUGUUUAAAUAUUUCUGUUUUUUUUUUUCUUUUUUUAAAAUAUAAACUAUGGAGUUUACUCCUUCAUCUUCAGAGCUACUGUUCAAGAUGUGACUGGCAGAACAUACCACAAAGCUAAUGAUGUAUUUCUCACACACAAAAACUAAUCUAUUUCAAAAUUUGGAUAAUGUCGUCUCUUCCACUUCCCCUUCGAUUUUCUCCCGUUCCUGAAAUCAUGACUUAUUUUCAAAAGUUUGUAACUCUACCAGAAGCUCUAGUAGAAUCAGAAUAUGACAAUCAAAAAAUGAGUGAGGAAGUAAUUCCAAAUGUCUCUCUUCCUUUAUAUAUGUUUUUCAUUAACUAAUCAUCAAUCUUUAAGUGAAUGAUUUUAGUACCUGGAAAAUUAUUGUCUUAUCAUUUGUUCAUUCUUUUCCCACCCACUUUUUUAAAAAUGAAAUUCACAAUGAAAUUCCAUUUGUGAGACACAACUUUCACCUCAUUCAACCCAGUCUUUAGCUUAUCAAGUGUGGAAAUUUCCUUGAAAUCCUUCUCCCCAAACUGAUAAUCACCAAAGUUUCUCACCAAUGCUUAAAAUGGAUUUUAUAGUUGAAAAUAUAACGUGUUCAUGGAUUUUUUUUUGUCACAUUUAGCCUCUCUGUAUCUUCUGAAAUUCCCUUUUAUUCCACAAUUUC